AUUGAACGCUGGCGGUAUGCUUAACACAUGCAAGUCGAACGAUGAGAAAGAGCUUGCUCUUUCGAUUAGUGGCGGACGGGUGCGUAACGCGUAGGAAUCUACCUAUUAGUGGGGGACAACUUAGGGAAACUUAAGCUAAUACCGCAUACGCCCUACGGGGGAAAGAAGGGGAUCGCAAGACCUUUUGCUAAUAGAUGAGCCUGCGUAGGAUUAGCUAGUUGGUGGGGUAAAAGCUCACCAAGGCGACGAUCCUUAACUGGUUUGAGAGAAUGAUCAGUCACACUGGAACUGAGACACGGUCCAGACUCCUACGGGAGGCAGCAGUGGGGAAUAUUGGACAAUGGGCGAAAGCCUGAUCCAGCAAUGCCGCGUGUGCGAAGAAGGCCUUAGGGUUGUAAAGCACUUUCAAUUGGAAGGAAAACCUCGAAGCUAAUACCUUCGAGUUUGACAUUACCUUUAGAAGAAGCACCGGCUAACUCCGUGCCAGCAGCCGCAGUAA
rnacentral:rRNA from 1 species